CGCGUAGGCGGUUUGGUUUGUUAGGUGUGAAAUUCCUGGGCUUAACCUGGGGGCUGCACUUAAUACGGCCAGGCUUGAGUGUGAAAGAGGGUCGUGGAAUUCCCAGUGUAGAGGUGAAAUUCGUAGAUAUUGGGAAGAACACCGGUGGCGAAGGCGGCGACCUGGUUCAUUACUGACGCUGAGGCGCGAAAGCGUGGGGAGCAAACAGGAUUAGAUACCCUGGUAGUCCACGCCGUAAACGAUGUGUGCUGGAUGUUGGGUGACCUAGUCACUCAGUGUCGUAGCUAACGCGAUAAGCACACCGCCUGGGGAGUACGGCCGCAAGGUUGAA
rnacentral:rRNA from 1 species